rnacentral:rRNA from 1 species
GACGAACGCUGUCGGCGUGCUUAACACAUGCAAGUCGAACGGAAAGGCCCUGCUUUUGUGGGGUGCUCGAGUGGCGAACGGGUGAGUAACACGUGAGUAACCUGCCCUUGACUUUGGGAUAACUUCAGGAAACUGGGGCUAAUACCGGAUAGGAGCUCCUGCUGCAUGGUGGGGGUUGGAAAGUUUCGGCGGUUGGGGAUGGACUCGCGGCUUAUCAGCUUGUUGGUGGGGUAGUGGCUUACCAAGGCUUUGACGGGUAGCCGGCCUGAGAGGGUGACCGGCCACAUUGGGACUGAGAUACGGCCCAGACUCCUACGGGAGGCAGCAGUGGGGAAUAUUGCACAAUGGGCGGAAGCCUGAUGCAGCAACGCCGCGUGCGGGAUGACGGCCUUCGGGUUGUAAACCGCUUUCGCCUGUGACGAAGCGUGAGUGACGGUAAUGGGUAAAGAAGCACCGGCUAACUACGUGCCAGCAGCCGCGGUGAUACGUAGGGUGCGAGCGUUGUCCGGAUUUAUUGGGCGUAAAGGGCUCGUAGGUGGUUGAUCGCGUCGGAAGUGUAAUCUUGGGGCUUAACCCUGAGCGUGCUUUCGAUACGGGUUGACUUGAGGAAGGUAGGGGAGAAUGGAAUUCCUGGUGGAGCGGUGGAAUGCGCAGAUAUCAGGAGGAACACCAGUGGCGAAGGCGGUUCUCUGGGCCUUUCCUGACGCUGAGGAGCGAAAGCGUGGGGAGCGAACAGGCUUAGAUACCCUGGUAGUCCACGCUGUAAACGGUGGGUACUGGGUGUGGGGUCCAUUCCACGGGUUCCGUGCCGUAGCUAACGCUUUAAGUACCCCGCCUGGGGAGUACGGCCGCAAGGCUAAAACUCAAAGGAAUUGACGGGGCCCCGCACAAGCGGCGGAGCAUGCGGAUUAAUUCGAUGCAACGCGUAGAACCUUACCUGGGUUUGACAUGGAUCGGGAGUGCUCAGAGAUGGGUGUGCCUCUUUUGGGGUCGGUUCACAGGUGGUGCAUGGCUGUCGUCAGCUCGUGUCGUGAGAUGUUGGGUUAAGUCCCGCAACGAGCGCAACCCUUGUUCACUGUUGCCAGCACGUUAUGGUGGGGACUCAGUGGAGACCGCCGGGGUCAACUCGGAGGAAGGUGGGGAUGACGUCAAGUCAUCAUGCCCCUUAUGUCCAGGGCUUCACGCAUGCUACAAUGGCUGGUACAGAGAGUGGCGAGCCUGUGAGGGUGAGCGAAUCUCGGAAAGCCGGUCUCAGUUCGGAUUGGGGUCUGCAACUCGACCUCAUGAAGUCGGAGUCGCUAGUAAUCGCAGAUCAGCAACGCUGCGGUGAAUACGUUCCCGGG